rnacentral:rRNA from 1 species
GACGUAGGGUGCGAGCGUUGUCCGGAUUUAUUGGGCGUAAAGAGCUCGUAGGCGGCUCGUCGCGUCGACCGUGAAAACCCGCGGCUUAACUGCGGGCUUGCGGUUGAUACGGGCGGGCUAGAGUUCGGUAGGGGAGGACUGGAAUUCCUGGUGUAGCGGUGAAAUGCGCAGAUAUCAGGAGGAACACCGGUGGCGAAGGCGGGUCUCUGGGCCGAUACUGACGCUGAGGAGCGAAAGCGUGGGGAGCGAACAGG